rnacentral:rRNA from 2 species
AACGAACGCUGGCGGCAGGCUUAACACAUGCAAGUCGAGCGCCCCGCAAGGGGAGCGGCAGACGGGUGAGUAACGCGUGGGAAUCUACCUUUUGCUACGGAAUAACGCAGGGAAACUUGUGCUAAUACCGUAUGUGUCCUUCGGGAGAAAGAUUUAUCGGCAAGAGAUGAGCCCGCGUUGGAUUAGCUAGUUGGUGGGGUAAAGGCCUACCAAGGCGACGAUCCAUAGCUGGUCUGAGAGGAUGAUCAGCCACAUUGGGACUGAGACACGGCCCAAACUCCUACGGGAGGCAGCAGUGGGGAAUAUUGGACAAUGGGCGCAAGCCUGAUCCAGCCAUGCCGCGUGAGUGAUGAAGGCCCUAGGGUUGUAAAGCUCUUUCACCGGAGAAGAUAAUGACGGUAUCCGGAGAAGAAGCCCCNGGCUAACUUCGUGCCAGCAGCCGCGGUAA